CGGCCGGCCGGCUUCGCCCGUGUGAAGCUCCUUCGACGAGUCGAGUUGUUUGGGAAUGCAGCUCUAAAUGGGUGGUAAAUUUCAUCUAAAGCUAAAUAUUGGUCGGAGACCGAUAGCGCACAAGUAGAGUGAUCGAAAGAUGAAAAGCACUUUGAAAAGAGAGUUAAACAGCAUGUGAAAUUGUUGAAAGGGAAGCGCUUGC
rnacentral:rRNA from 1 species